GACGUAGGGCGCGAGCGUUGUCCGGAUUUAUUGGGCGUAAAGAGCUCGUAGGCGGUCUGUCGCGUCUGCUGUGAAAACUCAGGGCUUAACCCCGAACUUGCAGUGGGUACGGGCAGACUAGAGUGUGGUAGGGGAGACUGGAAUUCCUGGUGUAGCGGUGAAAUGCGCAGAUAUCAGGAGGAACACCGAUGGCGAAGGCAGGUCUCUGGGCCACUACUGACGCUGAGAAGCGAAAGCAUGGGGAGCGAACAGG
rnacentral:rRNA from 1 species